rnacentral:rRNA from 1 species
UACGAAGGGGGCUAGCGUUGCUCGGAAUCACUGGGCGUAAAGCGCACGUAGGCGGCUUUUUAAGUCAGAGGUGAAAUCCUGGAGCUCAACUCCAGAACUGCCUUUGAUACUGGAGUGCUUGAGUCCGGGAGAGGGUGAGUGGAACUGCGAGUGUAGAGGUGAAAGUUCGUAGAUAUUCGCAAGAACACCAGUGGCGGAAGGCGGCUCACUGGCCCGGUACUGAC